rnacentral:tRNA from 1 species
GCCAACGUAGCACAAUGGUAGUGCAACGGUAUCGUAAACCGUAGGUUGUGGGUUCAAAUCCCACCGUUGGCU